rnacentral:pre_miRNA from 1 species
AGGGGCUUUCUGGGGUGAUUAUGCGCUUUGGCCCGAUCAUAAUGCCCCUCAAAGACCUUAA